rnacentral:rRNA from 1 species
GACGAACGCUGGCCGCGUGCCUAAUACAUGCAAGUAGGACGCAGUUGCGCACGGGUGAGUAACGCGUAGGUAACUACCUAUUAGAGGGGGAUCACUAUUGGAAACGAUAGCUAAUACCGCAUACUAGUAACUGGACCUGCGUUGUGUUAGCUAGUUAAUAGGGUAAUGGCCUACCUAGGCAACGAUACAUAGCCGACCUGAGAUGGUGAUAGGCAACACCGGUACUGAGACACGGCCGAGGCACCUACGGGAGGCAGCAGUAAGGAGUCGUAGGGAAUGGGGGUAACCCUGACCGGGCAACGCCGCGUGAGUGAAGAAGGUUUUCGGAUCGUAAAGCUCUGUUGUUAAGGAAACGGUACUUAACCGGAGAGGGAGGGCUAACUACGCGCCAGCAGCCGCGGUAAUUG